rnacentral:rRNA from 1 species
CCUACGAGAGGCUGCAGUGAGGAAUAUUGGUCAAUGGGCGGAAGCCUGAACCCGCCAAGUAGCGUGCAGGAUGACGGCCCUACGGGUUGUAAACUGCUUUUAUACGGGAAUAACGCGCCUUACGUGUAGGGCUUUUCAUGUACCGUAUGAAUAAGGACCGGCUAAUUCCGUUCCAGCCGCCGCGGUAAGACGGAAGGUCCGGGCGUUAUCCGGAUUUAUUGGGUUUAAAGGGAGCGUAGGCCGCAUGUCAAGCGUGCUGUGAAAUGUCCGGGCUCAACCCGGGCCUUGGAGCGCGAACUGGCGUGCGUGAGUCCGCGGAAAGCAGGCGGAAUUCGUCGUGUAGCGGUGAAAUGCUUAGAUAUGACGAAGAACCCCGAUUGAGAAGGCAGCUUGCUGCAGCGGAACUGACGCUGAUGCUCGAAAGCGCGGGUAUCGAACAGGAUUAGAUACCCGGGUAGUC